rnacentral:rRNA from 1 species
CGCCUCGCUGCCGUUCCCCGCAACCUGUCUAUCGACCCAAUCUCACAUCACCCGACGCCUCGUCCUCUCCAGAUCUUACGCCCGCCCGCCCGCCCGCCCGAGGUGAGCACUUGUACAUCCCGAUCAGCUUGGAGUUCCGAUUGGUUGGUAGGCGCGGCGCUGGUUCGUAGGUCUCGGAUCCAGCCAGCGUGGUCUCCCUCCGGAGUUGCUCGUUCCGAUUGUGGUUGCUGGUAGCAGCAACCAACUGUUCUGCUGCUGCAGUCUUCUUCGUCGCCAAAAGGAAAAGAUGCUCUACGAAAUCCACUCCCAUGCCCAAAUCCAAGCCCUGCAGGCCCGCUCUGAUGAGCUGGGCCACUCCAAUGAGGACAUGGUUGUGAAUCUUGUCUCUCUGGAGUCGGUGCGCAUAGCGCGCGAGUCGUAUUCACUCCUCUGGCCGCUGACCAAGGAGCCGAUGUCCUUGGCAUGCCCGGAGCUGGAUUCCCUCUUGGUCGUGGCAACCUUGUCGCUGGAAAUCCAAAAGCUCGAGCAUGAUGUUUUACCCAAGCUCAUGGUUCAGGAGUCCAAGCUGGAACGGGGCUUCCUGGAAGCCCUCCUAGUCAUGCAGAACUCAGCAAUUAAGCUCUUACAUCUGGCGAAGUGCUAUAAGGAAGCCAAGGGCGUAUUGCAGGAUCUGGUCUCAGGCCGAGCCGAAGAUGUGAGCAGAAUGUUAAAUGAUAUUGUUGUUAAUGUACUCCGAGGUAACAUUUUCUGGCUUCAGGUGCGUCUCCCGGUGCUGGCCCGGCUGGUCACCAUUGUGUUGGAGACCCCGGUUCGUUUCUGUGAUUCUGAUGAGUAGACUUAUCAGCCAGCUCGAGGCUGUUGUGAUGAGUAUUUCUUAGGGGCGUGGCAAACAGUUUAGAAUCAAAUGUUCCGAUGUAUUUCUUGGACCCUCCUAUGGAUUUUAAAUGAUAUGUAUCUUGGGUAGUGUUUUCUCAUUCUGUGCUAGUAGGGUACAACUUGCAAUUACUUUCAGUUUUUUAUUUUUGAGAAACAUCCAUUCUGUGUUUUACUGUACAGUCACAUGGAGGUAUUUCGCUCUUUUGGGGGAAUAUAUGCCAAAAGAAUAUAGUAUGUUAGAAAAG